GGAAGUAAAAGUCGUAACAAGGUUUCCGUWCGUGRAACUGCGGAAGAUCAUUACCGAGUGAGGGCCCUCCGGGUCCAACCUCCCACCCGUGUUUAUCGUACCUUGUUGCUUCGGCGGGCCCGCCGUCUGGCCGCCGGGGGGCUCUGCCCCCGGGCCCGCGCCCGCCGAAGACACCUGUGAACGCUGUCUGAAGCUUGCAGUCUGAGCGAAACGCAUAAUCAGUUAAAACUUUCAACAACGGAUCUCUUGGUUCCGGCAUCGAUGAAGAACGCAGCGAAAUGCGAUAAGUAAUGUGAAUUGCAGAAUUCAGUGAAUCAUCGAGUCUUUGAACGCACAUUGCGCCCCCUGGUAUUCCGGGGGGCAUGCCUGUCCGAGCGUCAUUGCUGCCCUCAAGCCCGGCUUGUGUGUUGGGCCGCCGUCCCCCGUCUCCCGGGGGACGGGCCCGAAAGGCAGCGGCGGCACCGCGUCCGGUCCUCGAGCGUAUGGGGCUUCGUCACCCGCUCUAGUAGGCCCGGCCGGUCGCCCGCCGACGACCAUCAUCCUUUCUCCAGGUGACCUCGAUCAGGUAGGAUACCCGCUGAACUUAAGCAUAUCAAUAAGCGGAGGAAAAGAAACCAACAGGGAUUGCCUCAGUAACGGCGAGUGAAGCGGCAAGAGCUCAAAUUUGAAAGCUGGCCCCUUCGGGGUCCGCGUUGUAAUUUGCAGAGGAUGCUUCGGGAGCGGCCCCCAUCUAAGUGCCCUGGAACGGGCCGUCAUAGAGGGUGAGAAUCCCGUCUGGGAUGGGGUGCCCGCGCCCGUGUGAAGCUCCUUCGACGAGUCGAGUUGUUUGGGAAUGCAGCUCUAAAUGGGUGGUAAAUUUCAUCUAAAGCUAAAUAUUGGCCGGAGACCGAUAGCGCACAAGUAGAGUGAUCGAAAGAUGAAAAGCACUUUGAAAAGAGAGUUAAAAAGCACGUGAAAUUGUUGAAAGGGAAGCGCUUGCGACCAGACUCGCCCGCGGGGUUCAGCCGGCAUUCGUGCCGGUGUACUUCCCCGCGGGCGGGCCAGCGUCGGUUUGGGCGGCCGGUCAAAGGCCCUCGGAAUGUAACGCCUCUCGGGGCGUCUUAUAGCCGAGGGUGCCAUGCGGCCAGCCCGGACCGAGGAACGCGCUUCGGCUCGGACGCUGGCAUAAUGGUCGUAAGCGACCCGUCUUGAACGGGACCAACCUACCUGGAUCCGAGGUCAACCUGG
rnacentral:rRNA from 1 species